rnacentral:rRNA from 1 species
AUUGAACGCUGGCGGCAGGCCUAACACAUGCAAGUCGAGCGAGCGGCGGACGGGUGAGUAAUGUAUGGGAAUCUGCCUGAUAGAGGGGGAUAACUACUGGAAACGGUAGCUAAUACCGCAUACUAUCGGAUGUACCCAUAUGGGAUUAGCUAGUAGGUGGGGUAAAGGCUCACCGAGGCGACUAUCUCUAGCUGGUCUGAGAGGAUGACCAGCCACACUGGAACUGAGACACGGCCCAGACUCCUACGGGAGGCAGCAGUGGGGAAUAUUGCACAAUGGGCGCAAGCCGGAUGCAGCCAGGCCGCGUGUAUGAAGAAGGCCUUAGGGUUGUAAAGUACUUUCAGCGGGGAGGCGUUACCCGCAGAAGAAGCACCGGCUAACUCCGUGCCAGCAGCCGCGGUAAUAC